rnacentral:rRNA from 2 species
CUUGACGACCAUAGCAAGGUGGCCCCACUCCUUCCCAUCCCGAACAGGACAGUGAAACGCCUUCGCGCCGAUGAUAGUUGGUUUACGCCUGUGAAAGUAGGUCAUCGUCAAGC